rnacentral:rRNA from 1 species
AUACGGAGGGUCCGAGCGUUAAUCGGAAUUACUGGGCGUAAAGCGCGCGUAGGCGGUUCAGUCAGUCAGAUGUGAAAGCCCCGGGCUCAACCUGGGAACUGCACCUGAUACUGCUGAGCUAGAGUACGGUAGAGGGCAGUGGAAUUUCCGGUGUAGCGGUGAAAUGCGUAGAGAUCGGAAGGAACGCCAGUGGCGAAGGCGACUGUCUGGACUGAUACUGACACUGAGGUGCGAAAGCGUGGGGAGAAAACAGGAUUAGAUCCCCUGGUAGUCCACGCCGUAAACGAUGUCAACUAGCCGUUGGGGGACUUGAUCCUUUAGUGGCGAAGCUAACGCGAUAAGUUGACCGCCUGGGGAGUACGGCCGCAAGGUUAAAACUCAAAUGAAUUGACGGGG